rnacentral:rRNA from 1 species
AGUCUGGUGCCAGCACCCGCGGUAAUUCCAGCUCUAAUAGUGUAUUUUAAAGUUGUUGCAGUUAAAACGCUCGUAGUCUAUCUAAAAGUUUACGCACCUUUUCGUUGCAGGAGUGAUAGUUAUCGUCAUUAGAAAUUUAGGUGAUGGUAACCGGAUCUUUUGUAGCUUCGGUAUCGGAGACUUUAAGUCAGUUCAACUGGCUUGGGUCCGAGAUAUGGAUUGGUGACGUAAAUUUGAUUAUCAACUGUGAUCAAAUCAGAGAGAUUCAAUCAGGCAAUGAUGUUUGCAAAAACUUGCCCGAAUGGUUCAGCAUAGCACUGAAAUCAAGUCCCUUUUGGGACGAAACGAAUGGAAGAUAGGGAAAGGGAACAAGUAUUGUCUCGCUAGAGGUGAAAUUCAGAGAACGUGCCAAGACUAGCAGACGCGAAAGCGGUGUCCCGUCACAUCUUCGUCGAUCAGGAACGAAAGUUGGGGGAGCGAAAAUGAUUAGAUACCGUUGUAGUCCCAACUGUAAACUAUAUUGACAAGGGAUUGGCUUGAAACCUUUUUUCCAGAUCUCCUCAGAAUCUAAAGGAAACUGAAAGUUUUUGAAUUCUGGGGGGAGUAUGGUCGCAAGGCUGAAACUUAAAAGAAUUGACGGAAGAGCACCACCAGGAGUGGAAUUUGCGGCUUAAUUCGACCCAACACGGGAAAACUCACCAAGUCCGGAUAUUUUGUGGGAUUGACAGAACAAAGUUCUUUCAUGACAAGUAAGUGGUGGUGCAUGGCCGUUCUUAGUUCGUGGAGCGAUUUGUCAGGUUUAUUCCGAUAACGAACGAGACCUUAAUCUACUAAUUAGCUGCCAGCCUGUAAAAUGGUUAGUUUGUAACAAAACUGGUGUAGUGCGUAGCAAUACGUCGUUUCUUAGAGAGACAAUGUGCGUUUUAAAAAAUUAGCACAGGGAGGUUUAAGGCAAUAACAGGUCUGUGAUGCCCUUCGAUGUUUUGGGCAGCACGCGUAUUACAAUAUUAAUUUCAACAAGCAUAUCAUCCGCCUUCUCUAAUUCAAAAAAGAGUGGGAAAACUGAGAAUUAUUAAUGUGACUGGGAUAGCUGCUUGUAAUUGCAUCUUGAACGAGGAAUUCCUAGUAAACGUAAGUCAUCAA